rnacentral:rRNA from 1 species
GACGAACCGAGCGAACGUUAUUCGGAAUCACUGGGCUUAAAGGGUGCGUAGGCGGGCUGUCAAGUCUGGGGUGAAAUCCGGCAGCUUAACUGUCGAACUGCCUUAGAUACUGAUGGCCUCGAGGAAGGUAGGGGCAUGCGGAACUGUAGGUGGAGCGGUGAAAUGCGUUGAUAUCUACAGGAACUCCGGUGGCGAAAGCGGCGUGCUGAACCUUUUCUGACGCUGAGGCAUGAAAGCUAGGGGAGCAAACGGG